rnacentral:rRNA from 1 species
AUGGACACUGUUGAAGCUCCAAUAGCCAGUGGCUUGAAGAUAAUGGGACUUAUGGAGAAAAUCAAGGAAAAGGCUACACCCAAGAACAAGUGGGGCCUAGUGGUUGCUCCAAGACUAAGCUCCAGGAUCCACAACAGGCAAAAUAUCAUGGAGAAAGCUGCAGCAUACAAGAUGAAACAAAACCUGGAAAUCCCCCCUACAUUUAAAAGGCGUGCCAUGGACAAGCACCCGUGCAAUCUUGGCAAGGAUCAGCUCAUCGCUACAUCAAUGGAAGAUCCUCUGUGUGGGCGACCAAUCGGUGCUGCUGAGAAGAUGCAUUCAACUCCUGGAUCCGCAAAGAGGCGAGCUACUCAGGAUUGCGUGGGCUUUGGGCUGAGAGCUUGCGUGAAGAGGACCCGAGGCGAGGCGCUGAAGGCUCAUUCAGAGUGA